rnacentral:lncRNA from 1 species
CAAUUCUCCUGCCUCAGCCUACCUUUAAAACAAUAGCUGUGAUAGUAUUUAGUAAUAAAAAAAUAAACUUCUAAGACUUAGGAAAUCAUUCAUCUAAUAAAAGAUUGUCUUUAGGGAUAUUUGGACAUUAUUUUUGAGUAAUAUAGUAGUAGUAUAAAUUUUAAUACAGUAUUCAUAAAUAGCAUUCUUACAUUGCUACUAGUAUUGCAACACCAGUGUAAAUAAAUACUAUAAAUAAAUAUCAAUGCUAAUUUUUUUGUUCUGUGGAAUUUCACUGUUCACAUUAAAUUAUUGUCUUUUCAUCAUUGCUAUAGCAGUUAAUCUUAUUAAAUAAAACAUAGCAAUUUAAAUGCACUAAAGUCUUAAGACUUUUCCAGUUAAAGUUUGUUGAGCAUGUAGAAAUUACUUAGUAUCUUAGAGUUCUAGGUGCAAAAUAUACUUUUUAAUAUCAUUAUUUUGGGAUGUUAGUCUUUCUACUCCCUACUCUCCUCCCUACCAGCCUCAUCCAGAGAAAUAACUCUCUCAAGGUACUGAUAAGAGAUGCCACAGUCAGGCUAGUCAAUGGAGUGAAAGAUGUCACUGCCAGAUCCCCUGUAUAGUGGCACAGACUCCUGGAAUUGAAAGGGAGCUAGCUUAAGGAGUCAUUUAAUCCAGACCUCUUUCUUCCUGCAAGGGGUCU